rfam:Triticum urartu cultivar G1812 contig1407766, whole genome shotgun sequence.
GUGAGUAUCAUAUAGUGGUUUAUUAUCUCCGACUUCCACUCGGAUGACUCCAGUUCGAAUCUGGAUACUCAUA